CCUACGGGGGGCUGCAGUGAGGAAUAUUGGUCAAUGGCCGCAGGGCUGAACCAGCCAAGUCGCGUGAGGGAUGACGGUCCUAUGUAUUGUAAACCUCUUUUGUCAGGGAGCAAAGGGCGCCACGUGUGGCGCUUUGCGCGUACCUGAAGAACAAGCAUCGGCUAACUCCGUGCCAGCAGCCGCGGUAAUACGGAGGAUGCGAGCGUUAUCCGGAUUUAUUGGGUUUAAAGGGUGCGCAGGCGGAAUGUCAAGUCAGCGGUAAAAUUUCGGGGCUCAACCCCGUCGUGCCGUUGAAACUGGCGUUCUUGAGUGAGCGAGAAGUAUGCGGAAUGCGUGGUGUAGCGGUGAAAUGCAUAGAUAUCACGCAGAACUCCGAUUGCGAAGGCAGCAUACCGGCGCUCAACUGACGCUCAUGCACGAAAGCGUGGGUAUCGAACAGGAUUAGAUACCCUAGUAGUC
rnacentral:rRNA from 1 species